GUGCGGACAGCGGAAGUUAUCGCUCCGGCCCCGCCUCCGCCCCCGGCUGGCGUGAGCUGGGUGUUUCCUGCCUCUCUCAGUCCGGGUUUGGAGACUCCUGCGUCCUCCGACUUUUCAUGGAAGAGAUGUCAGGAGAAAGUGUGGUGAGCUCAGCGGUGCCAGCGGCUGCUACCCGCACCACUUCCUUCAAGGGCACGAGCCCCAGCUCCAAAUACGUGAAGCUGAAUGUGGGUGGAGCCCUCUACUAUACCACCAUGCAGACGCUGACCAAGCAGGACACCAUGCUGAAGGCCAUGUUCAGCGGGCGCAUGGAAGUGCUCACCGACAGUGAAGGCUGGAUCCUCAUUGACCGCUGUGGGAAGCACUUUGGUACGAUACUCAACUACCUUCGAGACGGGGCGGUGCCUUUACCCGAGAGCCGCCGGGAGAUCGAGGAGCUGCUAGCAGAAGCCAAGUACUACCUAGUCCAAGGCCUGGUGGAAGAGUGCCAGGCGGCCCUACAAAACAAAGAUACUUAUGAGCCUUUCUGCAAGGUCCCUGUGAUCACCUCAUCCAAGGAAGAACAAAAACUUAUAGCGACUUCGAAUAAGCCAGCCGUGAAGUUGCUCUACAACAGAAGUAACAACAAAUACUCAUAUACCAGCAAUUCUGACGACAAUAUGUUGAAAAACAUUGAGCUGUUUGAUAAGCUGUCUCUGCGCUUUAACGGAAGGGUCCUGUUCAUAAAGGAUGUCAUUGGGGAUGAAAUCUGCUGCUGGUCCUUUUAUGGUCAGGGCCGGAAGAUUGCUGAAGUCUGUUGUACCUCCAUCGUCUAUGCCACUGAGAAGAAACAGACCAAGGUAAGAGCCUCGAGAGGACAGUUUGGAGUGGCUGUUCUGAAACACACGCCUAUAGAACUUCCUUUCACGUGAGCCCAAUACAGAGGGAAAUGCUUUUAAAAUGCUUUGCUUGCCUUGUGAUUGCUCAUCCUUAAAAUAUUUAUCUUUUAGGCCCUGCAAGGAGCCAAAUGUAGGGUUCAUCUGGCAUUCCUUUAGCUCCCUACCUUGCUGGCUUCCUUCCAAGCACGCUUGACUCCCUGACUGGGCUGGACUCUGGGGAUGUGUUUUUAUAUCAUCCUCUCCAAACCAGUAGGCUUGACCUAUCCUUUGACUUCUCCCACCGUGCCAUUCCACAAAGCUGGAUUGCUCUGCACAGUGCUGCUAGAGAUCUGGCCCCCCCCUUAAUUGAAUUUGCCUGCCCUUUUGGGGCUCUGCAAUUGGGUUUUCUGUCUUUUUAAACUUUUAAUUCACACUAUACACUGUCAUUUCUUUAACGUGUCUAAGGGAAAUCUGGCUAUCCAGUGACAUGCAGCAGGUCUGCUGUGGGCCGACGGUCAUGCCUCUUGUCACCCUUGCACAGGAGUCUUAAGAGCCUGAGCCUGUAGGUCACUUACCCAGGUUACUAUUGUCCCUGCAGCUUUUGGGGCACACAGUUCUGCAUGAUUCUGCAGCUGACCUCGGACAAAAAGCAAAUGAGAAGAAAUCAUCACAUCACAAAGUAGAAACCAGAGUCUCUUUUUUUUUUUAACUUAUUAUUGAAAAUUGAAGCCAUACACAGAAUUAUAGUGCGGUGAUUUCCCCUGUGCCAUCACGCCACGUCAAGGGCCAUCAGCUCGGGCACUCUCACUCAGUCUGUAUCUACUCCUCCUCCCCAGCACUCACAGGAUGAAUUUGACAACAUAUUUUAUUCCUAAGCAUUCAAAAAUCUAUCCUAAAAGAAUAGAUAUUGUUCUUAAGGUAGCCAAGAAGUGCUAAACACUGAGGUUCUUUUUGCUUUCAAAGAUCCCAGGGGCAGGGGGUGAACCAGAAUCAUCUGCCUCUCUCUCCACAUUGGCAAGACAUCAUGCCCCUUUUCUCCUGUGGACUAUUUUUUUUUUUUUCAGGGCUGUGAAUUCUUCCUGUAAUUAGACCCCCAUUCUGUCAUGGUUUGAUUUUUUAAAAAUAUACCUGGGCUGCCUCUGCCCUUGGGUAGUAAGAGGAGAAAGUCUUAAAAUUUUAAAGCUUAAUUAGCCAGAUCCCAUAUCUUUAAAAAAAAAAAAAAAGGAAAGAAAACCAGGAUUUCCUCCCAGCCUCUCUGCGUGUUAGACUCUGUUGGCCUCCCUGGCCACUAGAGACCUUCUGGAGGUCUGUCCUGGUGCCAUUUCAGGGUUUCAGGCUGCAUCAGUGCUGGCCGCAGCAAACAGUAAACUCACUGUUGGGCAUUACUCCAAAUUCUGUUGUUUCCCCCAUCUGCCUGCCAUGAUUUACUUCUGAGUCCACAGUUAGCUGCUGUGUGCAUCCCAUUCUGGCUUUGUAGUGUCACUGAGGAAGACGGGGUAGAGUGUGCCUGCUCCAUUUUUCCCAGAACCGGAACCUCUGAAUUCCACCCUGAAAGUGGAGUCUAGUCUGAUCAAAUGUGUGGGACCUGCUUAUGUGGCCCUCUUCCUGUUCAUCACACCUUAACCCUGAAGGGCAAUGAGCAAACACAAUGAUUUGCCAAACAGCAGAAGGGCUCAUGCCCAUUUCGUGGGAGUCCCCAGCUGGACCCUGUACAAAAAACUGCUUUAGAGACUGCUUUAAGGUGUGGAAGGACUUCUGUGCAAGGUUGCAGCUCUGUUAGGAGAAGCAUAUUAGCACUGACCUAAAUGGCCAUCCAAGUAUGGUUAAUUGCAUUGUCGUAUUUAUAAUUCCUUGAUACAGAAUGAUCUCUAGGUUAAGUUAGGCACAAGAGGAAGACAUGUACAACUCUGUGUGGUGGGCCACCUUGUGUGUUUUUUGAAGUGUGUGAAUAAAUAUAUGUAUUACACAUAUUUACCUGCACAGAAUCUUUGAGAGGGUAAAAUGAUGAGAAACUGUACCUUUAAGAAGGGAAACUAGGGGCAGGGAGACCUGUUUCUCUGCAUCCCCUUGAUUUUCUGUGCAUUUAGCACCACAUGUAAGUGUUGCCAUUGAAAAUAUCAGUUUAUUUAAAAAUAAUACCGGUGGCCUUCAGCAGAAUCCCAGGGGCCUGAUUUAGCCUGGCGGCCCUGCUUAAAGUCCAGGUGUUGGCAGAGGGGGUGGGCCAUAACUUACCUGCCCUGUAUAUUGUGGGAACACAGGUGGAGUUUCCCGAAGCCCGGAUUUAUGAGGAGACUCUGAACAUUUUGCUGUAUGAGGCCCAGGAUGGCCGGGGACCUGACAAUGCGCUCCUGGAGGCCACAGGCGGGGCGGCAGGGCGCUCCCACCACCUGGACGAGGACGAGGAGCGGGAGCGGGAGCGGAUCGAGCGCGUGCGGAGGAUCCACAUCAAGCGCCCCGAUGACCGGGCCCACCUCCACCAGUGAGCAGGCAAGAGACCGAGCCGCCCUCCUCUCACCGCCCCCCACUCCCUGCCGUGCUACACCCAGAUCCUGUGCAGGCUGCCGGGCCCCUUCUGCUUCCCUUGGAGCCUGGAGAUACUUUUGUAACAAGCCAGAUGAUUAUUUUGGUAUUGCUUGACAAAACAAAUUGAUUGUCUUGACCCAGGCGUAUGACCCCUGUCGUUGAACAAGCUGUGUCUAAGAUCUCUACUUUUCAUGAGAAUCUGAGACUCUUUGGAGCCAGGCUUUCUCGGUUCUCAGAGGAAAAGUAUGAAUGAGUGUGAAGUGUAUGUGAGAACUUUUGUUUGCAAUAUUUAUUUUUGUGGGUGUCGACUUCCUAUAUGGGCUUUUUGGGUGACACUCCCUUAAGGGUUCAGUUUGCCAAUUCUGAGAGUUGUCCUGCAGUUGGAGGCCACCAGAGGUAUCUGAGCUCCCUGCUUCUUAUUUCAUAAUCCUCCAGCCCCAGCAGGUCCACUCCUGGUUCCUAUGUGUUUGGCCUGGGCACAAUCCCCACUGCUUUGCUAGAUGUGCUUUCUGCCAUGUGGCUUUGGGCCUAUAGCUUGUUGAUAAUUGCAGCUUGUGGCAGUGGAAAUGUGGCUGAAUGAGCGUCUAAAUCGUUGAGACCAGUGCAACUUUGGGUGCAAGGCUUUGUUUAGGGAGCAAGCCUUUUGCCACCUUGGGCUGGUCUUUGGCCUGGUGCUCACUGGGACCCCACAUGUCUGCGUAGGAGCAGAACUUUCCAUGGCAGUAAGUGUCCAGCUCUGUUUCUGGUUCUUUCCCCAACUCCAGCCCCUUCCAGUUGUUCUCCUGAUUGACCCGACUCCACUCCAGGAAGGCCAUCUGACCCUGUGACAGGCAUAGCUCAUAAACUACCCCUCCCUGGGAUCCCGCUCCUCUUCAGCCUCCUUCCCCAUGAAGCUGGGCUAACUUUCUAAGUCAUUUUGCUUAGAAAUUCAGUGUGGCCCAUACCCUUUGUCCUCCCAGCCUGGCAUCCAGGCAGGGACACCCUCACACCACCAGCCCCAGGGAGCUUCCCUGCUAUAAACACAGACCCUCUUGUCUUUGCCUCUGAUUUUUACACAGUGUAGAGUGGCCAGCAGUGAACAGGUUGAGGAUGUGCGGGUAGAUAGAUAACUUUGGGUCUGGUUUGUGUCUGUGUUCAUGUUUGUUUAAGGGAUAUGUGUGACUGUGGGUGGGGACGUGCGCUUGUGGGGCACAGGUGGCCCCUGCUGGAGCCCGGCUGGGCGCAGCGCCUAUGUAGGACGGGUGUUCUCAGUGACCUACCUCCCAGGCUCCUCUGCGCCUGCAAAGGAACAGGAGUGAGUUGUGACUGACAGGGGUGGUUGAGACUAGACUAGGUAGAGUAGUUACCAGGAGAUGUGAAUGUGCGUCAGGUGAUGGAUGGGUUUGUCAAGGGAAUCGUUACCGUUUUAUACCAAAGGUAUUAACAUGGGCAGCCUUUGACACAUGUAUUCCAAAAACGAGUUUAUAUUUUCAAACGGUUUUUACAGCUUAGACUUUGUACUUACUGCCCUGCCUGUGACAGUUGUAUGCCUUCAUUUUGUAUCCAACAGCAAAGUCUACAAUAAAACUUUAAAACAA